GGCAAGCGUUGUUCGGAAUUACUGGGCGUAAAGCGUGCGUAGGCGGUUGGCAAAGUCAGCUGUGAAAGCCCCGGGCUUAACCUGGGAAUGGCGGUUGAAACUAGUCGACUAGAAUCUGGCAGAGGGGGGUGGAAUUCCACGUGUAGCAGUGAAAUGCGUAGAGAUGUGGAGGAACACCAAUAGCGAAGGCAGCUCGCUGGGACGUUACUGACACUGAGGCGCGAAAGCGUGGGGAGCGAACAGG
rnacentral:rRNA from 1 species